AAGAAAAUAGCCCCAGUACCCUCCCCUUGCUCCUCCCCUCUAGCCUUACGGUAUAUAUGCUGUAGCAGCUUCCACAAUAAACGAGACUUGAUCAGAAACCUGUCUUGUCUCCACCUCUUGUGUCUCUUGUCCCUUGUCAUUCUCACUCCCCCUCUAGGGUCUCCGUUGACUUACCCGUGGGCCGGGACAGUACAUGUGCCCUUAACUUCCCUCUUGUUUUCUUGUCUCUUAAGCAGAAACUCUCACAGACCAGAAAAUAUGUUUCUUCUUUGAUUUGUAUGGAAUUGGCACAGGCUGUGGAUGCUGAUAAGAAUGAUGUCCACUGAAAGUGGCAAUAUGUCUUAUUUUUGAAGCUAAAAACAGAAGUGGAAGAACUUAUAAAUGCAGAUCGUCAAGAUUCCAUUAAUCUCUUCCUGGGAGUUUUCCAUCCUCCCGAAGGAAACUUCCAUUCUGGGAACUCAAACAGAGUUUUGUCCAUAUCACAAAAAAACCUAUGAAACUUUUACCAACAAGAAAAAGUGACUUUUUACCUAAGACUGUUGGCAUCGAUCCAAGUCCAUUUACUGUGUAGAAAUCAGAUGAAACUGGAAAAUCAGUAUUGGGUAAGAUUUGCAUAUAGAAUGAAAUUUUAAAGAUUCAUGUAAAAUAAUAGCACUUGCAAUAGAAUCUCCACCAAAAACUAAUAACUUCAAGUCGCAUAGUUUGGGGUAUAGACCAUUUAUUGCAUCUAUACAGGUAGUUCAUUUAUAGCACCGAGAUCGUUAAACUGUCCAAUAUUAAAAGUAGAAUUUAUGAGAAUUUCAGCAACAUGGAAUAUUUUAUUUUAAAUUGGUAGUAUAACAGAUGGCAUAAAGACAGGUAGCAGGUAUUAUGUUUUAUGUCCUGUAAAUAACUCAGCAUUCUUUUUUUCCCCAACAUAAAAUAUUUAAAUAA
rnacentral:lncRNA from 1 species